CGCAUACAUCAAGAGUCAGACCCGGUCUGACACCAACCUGCUUCCCUGCAAGGUGGUGCCUUCAUAGAAUGUGAAGGGAUGUGGCCAGACCGGCAAUACGGGCACCGCCA
rnacentral:ncRNA from 2 species